rnacentral:rRNA from 1 species
AUUGAACGCUAGCGGCAGGCUUAACACAUGCAAGUCGAGCGAGCGGCGGACGGGUGAGUAAUGUCUGGGAAACUGCCUGAUGGAGGGGGAUAACUACUGGAAACGGUAGCUAAUACCGCAUACCAUCAGAUGUGCACAGAUGGGAUUAGCUAGGAGGUGGGGUAAUGCCUCAACUAGGCGACGAUCCCUAGCUGGUCUGAGUGGAUGACCAGCCAGAGUGGAACUGAGUCACGGGCCAGACUCCGACGGGAGGCAGGAGUGGGGAAUAGUGCACAGUGGGCGCAAGCCUGAUGCAGCCAGGCCGGGUGUGUGAAGAAGGCCUUCGGGUUGUAGAGCACGUUCAGCGAGGAGGCGUUACUCGCAGAAGAAGCACCGGCUAACUCCGUGCCAGCAGCCGCGGUAAUUC